CCGACGGACGCACGCCGCCGCCGCGGCCCCAGCCAAAUCCCACCGCGGGGAGCGCUUCUCGCGAGACGCGCUGAGGCGGCGAAGCGAGAGUGGCGGAGGACGCCGGCCCGCCCAGGCCCUGAGGCUGGGGUCGGGAGACCGGGGGUCGGGCCGGACGCCGCACCCCUGCCUUCCGACACCACCGACCGGCGCGGAGGAGAGGCGAGGGGCCCCGGGCAGAACGAGAAGGGCGGCCCAGUUCGCCAUGAACGUCCGUCCAUCGUCUGGCGAGGCCUAGGCCCGGCCCCAGCGAGCCGGACGUCACCACAUCCAUCGAUCGACCUCAAAGAUAGAGUCAUCUCCAGUGGAACUGAAGAUAAGAAAGAAGAUCAAAGGAAGAAGAGGACUUCAGGAAAAGCCAGUAAGGAGUGCUGAGGUUUGGGGCUUCCCUGGUGGUGCAGUGGUUAAGAAUCCGCCUGCCAAUGCAGGGGACAUCGGUUCGAGCCCUGGCUGGGAAGAUCCCACAUACCGCAGAACAGCUAAGCCCAUGCGUCACAACUACUGAGCCCGUGCUCUAUAGCCUGCGAGCCACAACUACUGAGCCCGCGUGCUACAACUACUGAAGCCUGCGGCCCUAGAGCCCGUGCUCUGCGACAAGAGAAGCCACUGCGAUGAGAAGCCCGCACACCACAACGAAGAGUAGCCCCCACUCGCCGCAACUAGAGAAAGCCCGUGCACAGCAACGAAGACCCAAUG